GAAAUAAUAAGUGUGCUUCAGGAAGAAGCAGCGGAAGUUAUUCAUGCCUCACAGAUUCAUGCCGAUGAUAAAUUCAUCUUCAUAAUUAGGUCCAAGGCCAUAAGUACCAGAGUUGGUUUUGAAACUUCAAGGAUUGAUGAGAAACUGAGGGAACUGGUUCUCUGAAUAUUUCAGAACAUGGUUUUACUUCGGCUAGAUCAUAGUCAUGAAGAAAUUAAUUAGAUUUAUAUAUCAACAAAUAAAAUAGUACCUAGCAUCAUUCGUCA